UACGUAGGGGCAAGCGUUGUCCGGAAUCAUUGGGCGUAAAAGAGCGUGUAGGCGGCUCGGUAAGUCCGCUGUAAAAGUCCAGGGCUCAACCCUGGAAAAGCCGGUGGAAACUGUACGAGCUAGAGUCCGGAAGAGGCGAGUGGAAUUCUGGUGUAGCGGUGAAAUGCGCAGAGUAUCAGGAGGAACACCAAUGGCGAAGGCAGCG
rnacentral:rRNA from 1 species